AAUAUGUGUGCUUUAACCAUACA
rnacentral:siRNA from 1 species